GCGAACGGGUGAGUAACACGUGGGCAAUCUGCCCUGCACUCUGGGACAAGCCCUGGAAACGGGGUCUAAUACCGGAUACUUACUACCUUGGGCAUCCUUGGUGGUGGAAAGCUCCGGCGGUGCAGGAUGAGCCCGCGGCCUAUCAGCUUGUUGGUGGGGUAAUGGCCUACCAAGGCGACGACGGGUAGCCGGCCUGAGAGGGCGACCGGCCACACUGGGACUGAGACACGGCCCAGACUCCUACGGGAGGCAGCAGUGGGGAAUAUUGCACAAUGGGCGAAAGCCUGAUGCAGCGACGCCGCGUGAGGGAUGACGGCCUUCGGGUUGUAAACCUCUUUCAGCAGGGAAGAAGCGCAAGUGACGGUACCUGCAGAAGAAGCACCGGCUAACUACGUGCCAGCAGCCGCGGUAAUACGUAGGGUGCGAGCGUUGUCCGGAAUUAUUGGGCGUAAAGAGCUCGUAGGCGGCCUGUCGCGUCGGAUGUGAAAGCCCGGGGCUUAACCCCGGGUCUGCAUUCGAUACGGGCAGGCUAGAGUGUGGUAGGGGAGAUCGGAAUUCCUGGUGUAGCGGUGAAAUGCGCAGAUAUCAGGAGGAACACCGGUGGCGAAGGCGGAUCUCUGGGCCAUUACUGACGCUGAGGAGCGAAAGCGUGGGGAGCGAACAGGAUUAGAUACCCUGGUAGUCCA
rnacentral:rRNA from 1 species